AACCAGCACCUCAAGUGGUCAGGAUGAUUAUUGGGCCUAAAGCAUCCGUAGCCUGGUGCAUAAGUUUUCGGUUAAAUCCAUAUGCUCAACAUAUGGGCUGCCGGGAAUACUGUGCACCUAGGGAGUGGGAGAGGUAGACGGUACUCGGUAGGAAGGGGUAAAAUCCUUUGAUCUAUUGAUGACCACCUGUGGCGAAGGCGGUCUACCAGAACACGUCCGACGGUGAGGGAUGAAAGCUGGGGGAGCAAACCGG
rnacentral:rRNA from 1 species